rnacentral:rRNA from 1 species
AUGAUGGCCGAGGAUCUUCGCACUCGGAAGGUCAUCCUGAUCUCCGCUAGCUCCGGCGACCUCUACCCCUUUUUCGGCAAUAACAAGGCUUGGCGCGCUGCCUUCACCACUACUGUCUCCGAUGGCGAUGUAUGGCACCGGAGGCUUGGCCACCCUAGUGCUCAAUCUUUUACUUCCAUAGCACAUGAUUUUAUUCUACCUUGCAAUAAACCUCAUAUGCCGUGUGAUGCGUGUCAACUUGGACGCCAACCCCGUCUCCCUUUUACUUCUUCUACUAGUCGCACAUUUGCUCCCUUUGAUUUAAUUCAUUGUGAUUUAUGGACCUCUCCGGUUGUGAGCUUCUCCGGUUACCAAUACUACUUAGUUGUA